ACAUACGACCAUAGGGUGUGGAGGACAGGGCUUCCCGUCCGCUCAGCCGUACUUAAGCCACACGCCGGCCGGUUAGUAGUUGAGUGGGUGACCACCAGCGAAUCCCGGCUGUUGUAUGUU
rnacentral:rRNA from 1 species